UGUCAAGAUGCCCAACGUGCGGGACAGAGCAAAAGUCAACAUGCGAAGGAGAAACUCACAAGAAGGAAUAAUUCUCAAACAGAAGUACAAUCUGAUCCCUACAGUGCAAGAGAUGUAAACAACUAGAGAUCCACAGCAGAGCUCCGUGUGACCUGCAAAAGUCUGGUUAUGAGGGAGAAAAGGCGAACCAGUGAGUGGAUGUGAACAAAAAAGAGUGCUGAUGAUAAGAAGGUCAUAAUGAAGACUUGCUGGCUCUCGUCUUUGGAGAUGUCUCCUUCACUACCUUGAGCUUCGGGAGAGAUUCUGGUUCUACGCUGCACAUAGAUAGAUUGAUCAUUUAAGAAAUAGCUGUUUUAAAACUGGUAAUACAAUGUUGAUGAGCUCCAAAUUUACCUACUUUUA